rnacentral:rRNA from 1 species
GUGUAUGGCCAUACUACACUGAACUCACCUGGUCUCGGAAGUUAAGCAGGGUCAGGCCUGGUUAGUACUUGGAUGGGAGGCCACCUGAGAAUAGCGGGUGCUGUAGUUA